GUCCAGUUGACGAGUCCCAAAUAGGACGAAGUGGCGUUCUGGAU
rnacentral:hammerhead_ribozyme from 1 species